rnacentral:rRNA from 1 species
AGUGAACGCUGGCGGUAGGCCUAACACAUGCAAGUCGAACGGCGGCACCGAGGAGCUUCCUCCUUGGGUGGCGAGUGGCCGACGGGUGAGGAAUACAUCGGAAUCUACUCUGUCGUGGGGGAAAACGUAGGGAAACUUACGCUAAUACCGCAUACGACCAACGGGUCAAAGCAGGGGAUUUUCGGACCUUGCGCGAUUGGAUGAGCCGAUGUCGGAUUAGCUAGUUGGCGGGGUAAAGGCCCACGAAGGCGACGAUCCGUAGCUGGUCUGAGAGGAUGAUCAGCCACACUGGAACUGAGACACGGUCCAGACACCUACGGGAGGAAGCAGUGGGGAAUAUUGGACAAUGGGCGCAAGCCUGAUCCAGCAAUACCGCGUGGGUGAAGAAGGCCUUCGGGUUGUAAAGCCCUGUUGUUGGGAAAGAAAUCCAUCUGGUUAAUACCCGGAUGGGAUGACGGUACCCAAAGAAUAAGCACCGGCUAACUUCGUGCCAGCCGCCGCCGUAA